rnacentral:rRNA from 1 species
UACGGGGGGGGCAAGCGUUGUUCGGAAUUACUGGGCGUAAAGGGCUCGUAGGCGGCCAACUAAGUCAUACGUGAAAUCCCUCGGCUUAACCGGGGAACUGCGUCUGAUACUGGAUGGCUUGAGUUCGGGAGAGGGAUGCGGAAUUCCAGGUGUAGCGGUGAAAUGCGUAGAUAUCUGGAGGAACACCGGUGGCGAAGGCGGCAUCCUGGACCGAUACUGACGCUGAGGAGCGAAAGCCAGGGGAGCAAAGGGG